CGCCUCUAUAUAAAACAAGCCAUAUCAAUUUAAAGGACGUGCAAUCAACAAAGUGACUAUCUUGAAUAGGUAAACAUGGUGAAGAAAAACAACAAUAAUGAUGGUAUUAAUCAAGAAAAUGAAGAUAAACUCGAGAAGCAGAAAGAAAAGCUAAAUGAAGAAAUAAAAGCACUAGAAGAGGCAUUAGAGAAACAAGAAGCCCGUUUGAGUGGACUCCAAUCAAACGCAUUCCAACUAGCAAACUACUAUUUCGUUUUCCAAGGUGUUAUCUUAACAACACUUUGCAACCGUAAUACUAUUCUUAAAUGUUCAGAUCGUUGGUUUCUUGCAACACUUUCAGCUUUAGCAGCAACUGUUAAUUUAUUUGCUUUGGUAUCUAUUGGUACCAAGUACAAUCGAAUUUUUAGUCAACAAGCUAAAACUUGGUCUAAGUGCAAUGAGUUGCAAAUAGAACAAGAAAAACAAAGACUUCCAAAUACUAUCAAUAAAUAUCCAUCAUCACCAGCACAACCUGUACACGUUGAUAAAUAUGGAAUCAUACAACGUUGGGUUUAUUUUUCUAUAUGCAUAAUUUUCUUUCUUUUAUUUGCUAUUAUUGUCUUUGUAGGUUGCUUGAGAUUUCUAUGCAUACAUAGAGAGGUACCUAAAAAAAAGGAGACAGAGAUGCAAAGACUGCACUAACAUGAACACAAAAAGGAGCACAUACACAAAAGAGGCAAAACACAACCAAAAUAGAUCAUCUAUUUAAUUAACCGUUGCCCAUUAGACAAUUAAAGUGUUGCUGAAAACGUAGACAACAACGAGAGUAGUCAUCGUCUCAUAGUAGCUAUUUUGUCAUCGGUAAUCUUAAAAGGGAAAAUUUCUUGACCAGACCCUCCAUCCCGAUGGGCCUUUCAUCAUCUUCAGGCGAACAACCCACUUAGGCGAGUUGGGCCUUAGACGAAUGAAACCUGGGUAUUUUGUCUGGGACAGUAUUGAACGGAGAUGUGCCGAAAAAGAAGUGUUUUGUUGUUAACGUGUAUGCAAAAUGUGAUUUAUCUUCGAAAAUAAGAGUUUGGGAUGCUUUGGUUAUGUCCCGAAGAGAUUUUGGAGAAAGAGUGUGGUGUCCAGUAGGCAACUUUAAUGCGGUUAUAGUAGGAGAGAGGAAAGAAUGGGGUGAGUCACAAUAAUUUUGUGGGGUGAUCGGUGGACAUGAAUUAGUUAGGGAGUUUUAUGGUUAGUAUAGAGCUUACAAAUCAUUCGAUCCGAUGUUGGAUUGCAAAUUUACAUGGUUUCGUCUUAAUGGUAUCUCUAAGAAGUGGAACAAUAAUUUUUUGUUUUCGGAUGGGUGUAUUGUCGAAUGGGGUCCUUGUUUUGUUCGGAUGUUAGAUCGAGAUGUUUCGGAUAAUUGUCCUUUCUUGUUGAGGUACAUUAAUACAGAUUGGGGUCCCAAUUCUUUUAGAUUCAAUAAUUCUUGACUUAAACAUGAGAAUUUUAAUUGAUAUGUUUUGAAGGAAAGUUUGAGAGGGCUAAAGGGUCCCCUUAAAACUUGGAAUAAGGAGGAAUUUGGGUGUUUAAAUACGAGAAUAAAGAGGUUGACCGAAGAUAUUAAUGUUUUGGAUGUUAGAGGUGAACUUGUCGGAUUAUCGAAUGUUGAAGUGGAGUGGAGAAAGCGGCCCUUUAAUAAAUAAAUGAAUAAAAAACAUGUUUUUUUUUUAAAAAAAUUAUCAUCGAUUUAAAUUGCAAACAACAUAAAAAAAUAAUCAUCCGUAAUUAAAAUAUUAAGUUUUGUACCCCAAUUUAAUUUAAUUUAAUUUUUUUUUUUUUUCCUUUAGAGAGACUAGAACUGAAAAUUGGGACUUUAUAUUUUGUUGUAAUAUAUUAAGUUUUGCAGCCCUAAUCUAUUGACUUUACUACUUUAUAAUUUAUUUUUUUAAAUCCUCAUUUGUUGGCGGCCCAAUAGCACAUCUAUUUCCGCUGGGCUCGGUUUGGAGUAGGAAAAAAAUAUAAUGUUUUCACAGUUGCUUCAAAUUAGCCAAAAUAAUACCAGAUGGUAUAAAUAGAUGCAAAAGUUUGAAAGUCAGAAACUAAACUCAAAAAACAUGGCAAUGAUAAGGUGGACCAGUGCUAAAAAUUAUUAAAAAUUUUAACGAUUGUCGAUAAUACACUUUAAAAGUAAACAUUUACGACUUUUUUUGUAUUUACAACUAAAAAAAUAAAAUUAGUGACGUCAAUUCAAUACGAGUUACAUUUUUAAUAUCUGCUAUUUCAG